rnacentral:rRNA from 1 species
UACGUAGGGGGCCAAGCCGUUGUCCGGAUUUAUUGGGCGUAAAGAGCUCGUAGGCGGUCCGGUAAGUCAGCUGUGAAAGUCAAGGGCUCAACCCUUGAAAGCCGGUUGAUACUGUCGGGCUAGAGUCCGGAAGAGGCGAGUGGAAUUCCCGGUGUAGCGGUGAAAUGCGCAGAUAUCGGGAGGAACACCAAUGGCGAAGGCGGCAUCCUGGACCGGUAUUGACGCUGAGGCGCGAAAGCUAGGGUAGCAAACGGG